AGAGUUUGAUCAUGGCUCAGAUUGAACGCUGGCGGCGUGCCUAACACAUGCAAGUCGAGCGGUAACAGGUGUAGCAAUACAUGCUGACGAGCGGCGGACGGGGUGAGCAAUAUUUGGGAAUCUGCCUAUUAGUGGGGGGACAACCCGGGGAAACUCGGGCUAAUACCGCAUACGCACUACGGUGGAAAGCCGGGGACCGCAAGGCCUGGCGCUAAUAGAUGAGCCCAAAUCGGAUUAGCUAGUUGGUGAGGUAACGGCUCACCAAGGCGACGAUCCGUAGCUGGUCUGAGAGGACGACCAGCCACACCGGAACUGAGACACGGUCCGGACUCCUACGGGAGGCAGCAGUGGGGAAUAUUGGACAAUGGGCGAAAGCCUGAUCCAGCGACGCCGCGUGGGUGAAGAAGGCCUGCGGGUUGUAAAGCCCUUUCGGUGGGGAUAAAAAGCCUUGGUUUAACACACCAGGGUCUUGAUCUAACCCAAGAAAGAAGCACCGGCUAACUCUGUGCCAGCAGCCGCGGUAAUACAGAGGGUGCGAGCGUUAAUCGGAAUUACUGGGCGUAAAGCGCGCGUAGGUGGCUUUGCAAGUCGGAUGUGAAAUCCCCGGGCUUAACCUGGGAACUGCAUUCGAGACUGCUCUGCUAGAGUAUGGGAGAGGGAAGUGGAAUUUCCGGUGUAGCGGUGAAAUGCGUAGAUAUCGGAAGGAACAUCAGUGGCGAAGGCGACUUCCUGGACCAAUACUGACACUCAAGUGCGAAAGCGUGGGGAGCAAACAGGAUUAGAUACCCUAGUAGUCC
rnacentral:rRNA from 1 species